rnacentral:rRNA from 1 species
UGAAUAGGGCGCAUAAGUAACAGGUCGUAGACCCGAAACCAGGUGAUCUACCCAUGUCCAGGAUGAAGGUAAGGUAAUACUUACUGGAGGUCCGAACCCACGCACGUUGAAAAGUGCGGGGAUGAGGGGUGGGUAGCGGAGAAAUUCCAAUCGAACUUGGAGAUAGCUGGUUCUCUCCGAAAUAGCUUUAGGGCUAGCCUCGAGGUAAAGAGUCAUGGAGGUAGAGCACUGUUUGGACUAGGGGCCCUUCUCGGG